rnacentral:rRNA from 1 species
UACCAGCACCCCGAGUGGUCGGGACGUUUAUUGGGCCUAAAGCAUCCGUAGCCGGUUCUACAAGUCUUCCGUUAAAUCCAGCUGCUUAACAGAUGGGCUGCGGAAGAUACUAUGGAGCUAGGAGGCGGGAGAGGCAAGCGGUACUCGAUGGGUAGGGGUAAAAUCCGUUGAUCCAUUGAAGACCACCAGUGGCGAAGGCGGCUUGCCAGAACGCGCUCGACGGUGAGGGAUGAAAGCUGGGGAGCA